CCAGCAGCCGCGGUAAUUCCAGCUCCAAUAGCGUAUAUUUAAGUUGCUGCAGUUAAAAAGCUCGUAGUUGGAUUUCGGGUGGGUCCUGCCGGUCCGCCGUUUCGGUGUGCACUUGCAGGUCCCACCUUGUUGCCGGGGACGUGUUCCUGGGCUUCACUGUCCGGGACACGGAGUCGGCGAGGUUACUUUGAGUAAAUUAGAGUGUUCAAAGCAGGCCUACGCUCUGAAUACAUUAGCAUGGAAUAACACGAUAGGACUCUGGCCUAUCUUGUUGGUCUGUAGGACCGGAGUAAUGAUUAAGAGGGACAGUCGGGGGCAUUCGUAUUUCAUUGUCAGAGGUGAAAUUCUUGGAUUUAUGAAAGACGAACUACUGCGAAAGCAUUUGUCAAGGAUGUUGUCAUUAAUCAAG
rnacentral:rRNA from 1 species